rfam:Streptomyces ghanaensis ATCC 14672 supercont1.1 genomic scaffold, whole genome shotgun sequence.
UCGGCUCCGGUUCACGCCUGUCGCAUCCCGCGGCGGCGACCCGGCGCC